rnacentral:lncRNA from 10 species
AGGAUCACCUGGUCCUAUUGUUAAAAGAGAGAUUCUUGGUUUCCACUGCAGCAGGUGUUGAAUCAGAAUGGGGUUCAGGUUGUUGUAUUGUCAACAAGCUCGGCAUGUCCCACCAAGUUGAAUGCCCGCUGUUUGAGGAUUAUGGCCAUGGCAAUGAUUGAAAAUAGCAUUCCAGCCUCCACCAGAACAACAAAUCGAGGUUGCCAGAGGCUCUGGAGUUUGCAUUCAGCAGCGUCUCUGGUGACUCUUCAGAACGUUGCACUGGGCAGUGGCAGUGCAGGAAAGGGGAGACUGACUCCGGCAACGCCCACCUUCCAGGUGCCUCACAGAGCCUGCUGAACCUGAUCACCUGUCUUCAGUGGAGAAACAGGACAGCGGUACUGAGACAGGGAUCAGGAAACAGGGAGCCCCCAUAGACCUCUGUGGCAGCAGCACGCAGAAUGUGGACAGUCUCGACUUCCUUGGGGCAGGUUAGAGGGAACCCAGUGGGGACUGCAAUGGAGGAUCCAGCACUUCAGUAAGGUCUGGGAUUUAGCAACCUGCUGAGUGACCAGGACUGUACGUGUGUCCACCAAGGGAACGUGAGGAGGCCACACGUACAGCUCACCAAACACAUCAGCCGUGGCUGGGACAGAGUCUUCUUGGGUACCGCAGGUAGGAGCGGGGCAGAGGAGGGACCCGGCAGCUCACCUGGGGCUGUGAUGCCACCUCCCACCAGCAGAUGGGGUCCUCCCUCAAGUCCAGGCUCCAGGACAUCCGGCUUUUGCCCAGGCCGGGGUAGGUCAAGUAGGUGAGCCGAGUGCUCCUGGUUAAGGCUGAAGUUACAAGGAGCCCUUGGAGCCACAGAGCUGCUCAGCUGAGGGGUUGGAAAGGAGUCCCUGAGCUCCCUACUCCAAAGAGGCAGGCUUGAGGUCCCACUCUGGCGUGAGCCUUGUGAAGAAGGUGACUGCUUCCCCUCCUGCCAUGAUUGCAAGUUUCCUGAGGCCUCCCAAGCCAUGCAGAACUGUGAGU